AGACCCGAAACCCGGUGAUCUAGCCAUGGGCAGGUUGAAGGUUGGGUAACACUAACUGGAGGACCGAACCGACUAAUGUUGAAAAAUUAGCGGAUGACCUGUGGCUGGGGGUGAAAGGCCAAUCAAACCGGGAGAUAGCUGGUUCUCCCCGAAAGCUAUUUAGGUAGCGCCUCGUGAAUUCAUCUCCGGGGGUAGAGCACUGUUUCGGCUAGGGGGCCAUCCCGGCUUACCAACCCGAUGCAAACUGCGAAUACCGGAGAAUGUUAUCACGGGAGACACACGGCGGGUGCUAACGUCCGUCGUGAAGAGGGAAACAACCCAGACCGCCAGCUAAGGUCCCAAAGUCAUGGUUAAGUGGGAAACGAUGUGGGAAGGCCCAGACAGCCAGGAUGUUGGCUUAGAAGCAGCCAUCAUUUAAAGAAAGCGUAAUAGCUCACUGGUCGAGUCGGCCUGCGCGGAAGAUGUAACGGGGCUAAACCAUGCACCGAAGCUGCGGCAGCGACACUCAGGUGUUGUUGGGUAGGGGAGCGUUCU
rnacentral:rRNA from 1 species